CUGUAGAGGGGACAUGGGGUGCUAUGGGGCUGUAGGGAGCAGGGGAAUAUUAUGACGCUGUAGGGGGCUAUUGGGGGAGCUAUAUGGUUCUAUGGGGAGGCUAUAGGAGCUUUAUAGGUGGUUAUGGGGCUUUAGGGAGCUGUGGGUGGUCUGUAGGCGGGUUGUAGUAGGGUAGGAGGCUAUAGGGGGCUGUGGAGGGGAUAUAGGGAGAUAUGGGGUAGUAGUGAAUUUUUAGGGGGUUGUGGCAGGCUGUAAGAGUGUAUAGGAUGAUAGGGGGCCAGGGAGGGUCUGUAGAGAGGGAUGUUAUGCUGGAGAAGGUAUGGGAGGCUAAAAUGGGCCUUUGGGGGUUACAGAGGGGCUGUGGUGGGCUAUUUGGGGAUAUAGGGAGAUAUGAGGCUAUAGGAAGUGUUUGGAGGAUGUGGUCCUCUAAGGGGCUGUGUGGGUCCAUAGGAUGAUCUGGAGCUAUAGGGUGAUCUCUAAAGGGAUGUGGGGCUAGAAGGCUCUCCCUUCCUUCCUUUCCCCCCUUUCCACAGCAGGGAGGGUGAAAUGCUAGUCAUGAAAUUGAAACUGGAACUGAAGUUGUCUUGGAAUAGAAUAUGAUGCUUUUGUGGUCUUCCAUCUGAAACAUGUUUUCUCCUUGGGCUUGAGGUAAUCUGUUUAUGUUUAAUGAUUAUGGUUAAUAAUCUAAUCAUGUUUCAUAAUGCCUUUUGAAAAG
ensembl:lncRNA